rnacentral:tRNA from 1 species
GUAUAAAAAGCGAAAAUUCGCAUCUGGCUUCGGAUCAGAUUUUGGAGGUGUAAAUCCUUCUUUAUAUU